rnacentral:rRNA from 1 species
CAAGUCGAACGCGAAAGCCUCCUUCGGGGGGCAAGUAGAGUGGCGCACGGGUGAGUAACACGUAGGUAAUCUACCUUUGGAUUGGGAAUAACCACCGGAAACGGUGGCUAAUACCGAAUAAUGCAGCGGCACCUAAUGGUGACAGUUGUUAAAGCGGGGGAUCGCAAGACCUCGCGUCUGAAGAGGAGCCUGCGGCAGAUUAGCUAGUUGGUAAGGUAACGGCUUACCAAGGCGAUGAUCUGUAGCCGGCCUGAGAGGGCGGUCGGCCACACUGACACUGACAUACGGGUCAGACUCCUACGGGAGGCAGCAGUCGGGAAUUUUGGGCAAUGGGCGAAAGCCUGACCCAGCAACGCCGCGUGAAGGAUGAAAUCCUUCGGGAUGUAAACUUCGCAAGAACGGGAAGAAUAAGUAAGAGUUAAUAUCUCUUACGAUGACGGUACUGUUUGUAAGCUCCGGCUAACUCCGUGCCAGCAGCCGCGGUAAUACGGGGGGAGCAAGCGUUGUUCGGAUUUACUGGGCGUAAAGGGCGCGUAGGCGGCCACCGCAAGUCGACUGUGAAAUCUCCGGGCUUAACCCGGAAAGGUCAGCCGAUACUGCGGGGCUAGAGUGCAGAAGGGGCAACUGGAAUUCUCGGUGUAGCGGUGAAAUGCGUAGAUAUCGAGAGGAACACCUGCGGCGAAGGCGGGUUGCUGGGCUGACACUGACGCUGAAGCGCGAAAGCUAGGGGAGCGAACGGAAUUAGAUACCCCGGUAGUCCUAGCCUUAAACGAUGAAUGCUUGGUGUCUGGGGUUUUAUAGUCCCCGGGUGCCGUCGCUAACGCUUU